rnacentral:rRNA from 1 species
GGCGCACCCAGAAACCCUUUGUGAACUUAUACCUAUUGUUGCCUCGGCGCAGGCCGGCCUCUUCACUGAGGCCCCCUGGAAACAGGGAGCAGCCCGCCGGCGGCCAACCAAACUCUUGUUUCUAUAGUGAAUCUCUGAGUAAAAAACAUAAAUGAAUCAAAACUUUCAACAACGGAUCUCUUGGUUCUGGCAUCGAUGAAGAACGCAGCGAAAUGCGAUAAGUAAUGUGAAUUGCAGAAUUCAGUGAAUCAUCGAAUCUUUGAACGCACAUUGCGCCCUCUGGUAUUCCGGAGGGCAUGCCUGUUCGAGCGUCAUUUCAACCCUCAAGCCUGGCUUGGUGAUGGGGCACUGCCUGUAAAAGGGCAGGCCCUGAAAUCUAGUGGCGAGCUCGCCAGGACCCCGAGCGUAGUAGUUAUAUCUCGCUCUGGAAGGCCCUGGCGGUGCCCUGCCGUUAAACCCCCAACUUCUGAAAAUUUGACCUCGGAUCAGGUAGGAAUACCC